UGGGGAAUAUUGGACAAUGGGCGCAAGCCUGAUCCAGCCAUGCCGCGUGUGUGAAGAAGGCCUUUGGUUGUAAAGCACUUUAAGCGAGGGAGGAGGCUACUUGGAUUAAUACUCUAGGAUAGUGGACGUUACUCGCAGAAUAAGCACCGGCUAACUCUGUGCCAGCAGCCGCGGUAAUACAGAGGGUGCGAGCGUUAAUCGGAUUUACUGGGCGUAAAGCGUGCGUAGGCGGCUUUUUAAGUCGGANGUGAAAUCCCCUGAGCUUAACCUUUAGGAAUUGCAUUCGAUACUGGGAAGCUAGAGUAUGGGAGAGGAUGGUAGAAUUCCAGGUGUAGCGGUGAAAUGCGUAGAGAUCUGGAGGAAUACCGAUGGCGAAGGCAGCCAUCUGGCCUAAUACUGACGCUGAGGUACGAAAGCAUGGGGAGCAAACAGGAUUAGAUACCCCUGGUAGUCCAUGCCGUAAACGAUGU
rnacentral:rRNA from 1 species